AUUAAGAGAAGUGGAUCACAUGCAUUGGAUGAAAAAUUGGAUGUAGAUGCAGCCAGUCCAAGUCAUCAACAGAAUGUUGCACCAAAGAACACACAAGAAGCAGGUCCAAGUAGUCAACAGAAGG